rnacentral:rRNA from 1 species
AGAGAGAGACAUGCGCGCAUAUCAAUAAGCGGAGGAAAAGAAACUAACAAGGAUUCCCCUAGUAACGGCGAGUGAAGCGGGAAGAGCUCAAAUUUGAAAUCUUAAAGGGUUUCCCUUUACGAAUUGUAGUUUAAAGAAGUGUUUUCUGUUGAGGUUUUGGUAAAAGUUCUUUGGAAUAGGACAUCAUAGAGGGUGAGAAUCCCGUAUUUGACCAUUAUUUUCAACUUUGUGAUACACUUUCAAAGAGUCGGAUUGUUUGGGAAUGCAGUCCAAAAUGGGUGGUAAAUUUCAUCUAAAGCUAAAUAUUGGCGAGAGACCGAUAGCGAACAAGUACCGUGAGGGAAAGAUGAAAAGAACUUUGAAAAGAGAGUUAAACAGUACGUGAAAUUGUCAAAAGGGAAGCGUUUGACACCAGUGUUGUUUUUCUGAAAAUCAAUUAAAGAACUGUUUAUGCUAAGUUGUUUAGACUUUAUCAGCUAACUGUUUAGUUUUGAGCUUUUCUUUAAUGCACUUUUCAGUUAACAAGUCAACAUCAAUUUCUUUUGCUGUAAAAAAGCUUGAGGAAGGUGGCUUGAGAUUCGUCUUAAGUGUUUAUAGCCUCUUGCCUAUGCAGUCGGAGAGAUUGAGGUCUGCAGCGUAGAUCCUUCGGGGCUAAAUGCAUUUGUGCUAAGUUAUAGCAUUUUAUAGACAACUUGUUGACUAUGAUUUGUCUUGUAGCUUACUCGCUUAUGUUAUUUUACCUACGCUUAGGAUGUUGAUGUGAUACUGCGAGCA